rnacentral:rRNA from 1 species
UACGUAGGGGGCAAGCGUUGUCCGGAUUUAUUGGGCGUAAAGAGCGUGUAGGCGGCCUUACAGGUCAGCUGUGAAAACUCGAGGCUCAACCUCGAGACGUCGGUUGAAACCGUAUGGCUAGAGUCCGGAAGAGGAGAGUGGAAUUCCCGGUGUAGCGGUGAAAUGCGCAGAUAUCGGGGAAGAACACCCGUGGCGAAGGCGGCUCUCUGGGACGGUACUGACGCUGAGACGCGAAAGCGUGGGGAGCGAACAGG